rnacentral:rRNA from 1 species
UACAGAGGUCUCAAGCGUUGUUCGGAAUUACUGGGCGUAAAGCGUGCGUAGGCGGUUUGUUAAGUCCGCUGUGAAAGCCCUGGGCUCAACCUGGGAAUUGCAGUGGAUACUGGCAAGCUAGAGUGCGGUAGAGGAUGGUGGAAUUCCCGGUGUAGCGGUGAAAUGCGUAGAGAUCGGGAGGAACACCCGUGGCGAAGGCGGCCAUCUGGACCAGCACUGACGCUGAGGCACGAAAGCGUGGGGAGCAAACAGG